CCUUAAGCACGGAAAUUGCAUUGCAGGUGUAUCCACUGGGGCUGGACACCACCUCAGUGAGUCCCUGUAUUUUGCCCAGUUGUGGUUUUCUGUGAUGGUUUCCACUGCUGCCAAGAGAAGCCUCUUUUAUGAAGAAUGAGAGCUACACUUAUCUUCGGGUACAGGGUUGUUUUGUGGUACCUCAGGUUUAAGAUGAAGAAACAUAAGCACAGACAGUGUCACUGGCAGGAAUCAUGUGAGGAGAUCACAGAUCCUAAGGCUGCACAAGAGCCUUCUCCAUUGACUUGCCUUUCAAAUGCUUCCCCUGAGGCUGCCCU
rnacentral:lncRNA from 1 species